rnacentral:piRNA from 1 species
UAUUUAGGCCCAUACCCUAUGUCACGGCAGC